rnacentral:misc_RNA from 1 species
AAGUCGUAACAAGGUUUCCGUAGGUGAACCUGCGGAAGGAUCAUUAGAAGUCUCGGCGAGAGCCGAACCUCUUCAUCUUCUACCCUGUGCAUCGUGACCCUUUUUUUCGCGCCUUGCGAAUCGAAAGUCUCGAAGUCUUAACAAAUGAAAGGCACAAAAUGAAGCAACGGAUCUCUUGGCUCUC